rnacentral:rRNA from 1 species
UACGUAGGGUGCGAGCGUUAAUCGGAAUUACUGGGCGUAAAGCGUGCGUAGGCGGUUCGUUAAGUUCGUUGUGAAAGCCCCGGGCUCAACCUGGGAAUGGCAAUGGAAACUGGCGGGCUUGAGUGUGGCAGAGGGGGGUGGAAUUCCGCAUGUAGCAGUGAAAUGCGUAGAGAUGCGGAGGAACACCGAUGGCGAAGGCAGCCCCCUGGGCCAAAACUGACGCUCAGGCACGAAAGCGUGGGGAGCAAACAGG